rnacentral:rRNA from 1 species
CCCUUAGAUGUUCUGGGCCGCACGCGUGCUGCACUGAACGGUUCAAUGGGUGAGGUAGUGCGAAAGCAUAACCUAAUCUCGAAAUCCGUUCGUGCUGGGGAUAGAAGCUUGCAAUUAUCCUUCUUGAACGAGGAAUACCUUGUAGGCGUGAGUCAUCAUCUCGCGCCGAAUACGUCCCUGCCCUUUGUACACACCGCCCGUCGCUCCUACCGAUUGAGUGUUCCGGUGAGGCUUUGGGAGAGCUGGGUGGAUUGUGUUUCACGAACUGCUCGGUUUGAACUUAGUCAAACCUUAUCACUUAGAGGAAGGAGAAGUCGUAACA